rnacentral:rRNA from 1 species
AGAGUUUGAUCCUGGCUCAGGAUGAACGCUGGCGGCGCGCCUAACACAUGCAAGUCGAACGGCACCCACCCUCGGGUGGAAGCGAGUGGCGAACAGCUGAGUAACACGUGGAGAACCCGCCCCCUCCUCCGGGAUAGCCUCGGGAAACCGUGGGUAAUACCGGAUGACCCCGCAGGGCCGCAUGGCCCCGCGGGCAAAGCCCAGACGGGAGGGGAUGGCUCCGCGGCCCAUCAGGUAGACGGCGGGGUGACGGCCCACCGUGCCGACGACGGGUAGCCGGGUUGAGAGACCGACCGGCCAGAUUGGGACUGAGACACGGCCCAGACUCCUACGGGAGGCAGCAGUGGGGAAUCUUGCGCAAUGGGGGGAACCCUGACGCAGCGACGCCGCGUGCGGGACGAAGGCCUUCGGGUCGUAAACCGCUUUCAGCAGGGACGAGAAGAGACGGUACCUGCAGAAGAAGCCCCGGCUAACUACGUGCCAGCAGCCGCGGUAAUACGUAGGGGGCGAGCGUUAUCCGGAUUCAUUGGGCGUAAAGCGCGCGUAGGCGGCCGCGUAGGCGGGGGGUCAAAUCCCGGGGCUCAACCCCGGUCCGCCCCCCGAACCCCGCGGCUCGGGUCCGGUAGGGGAGGGUGGAACACCCGGUGUAGCGGUGGAAUGCGCAGAUAUCGGGUGGAACACCGGUGGCGAAGGCGGCCCUCUGGGCCGAGACCGACGCUGAGGCGCGAAAGCUGGGGGAGCGAACAGGAUUAGAUACCCUGGUAGUCCCAGCCGUAAACGCUGGACGCUAGGUGUGGGGGGACGAUCCCUCCGUGCC